rnacentral:rRNA from 1 species
UUAGGAAUCUUCCCCAAUGGGCGAAAGCCUGAGGGAGCGACGCCGCGUGAGGGAUGAAGCUUCUCGGAGUGUAAACCUCUGAACAAGGGACGAAUAUUGACGGUACCUUGCUAACAGCACCGGCUAACUCCGUGCCAGCAGCCGCGGUAAUACGGAGGGUGCAAGCGUUACCCGGAAUCACUGGGCGGAAAGGGCGUGUAGGCGGUUUGAUAAGUCUGGCUUAAAAACUCGAAGCUCAACUUCGAAUCUGGGUUGGAUACUGUCAGACUAGACGGCUGGAGGGGAGAGUGGAAUUCUCGGUGUAGCGGUGAAAUGCAAAGAUACCGAGAGGAACACCAGUAGCGAAGGCGGCUCUCUGGACAGUACGUGACGCUGAGGCGCGAAAGUGUGGGGAGCAAACC